UGCAUUUUGUGGCACGAAAGGUCGCAAUUCAGAUAAUGGAAAGAAAGGGGUGUAUAUCUACUUUGGAUGAUGUUAAAGUUCACCCUUUCCCAACCCUGGAAAAAAAUGUCCACGCAGAGGAAACGAUGGCGUCAUUUGUUUAGAAAACCACGAGCAGCAGAACAGUGCAGAAAAUUAGAGCGAUUAUUACGUUCCGUAAAAGCUGAACCAACACAGAAGCAUCCCUGUUCUAGCCAUUUCACCAUAUGAAAGGCGAAGAUAACAAACAGUGAUCCAAGUUUUAAGAAAGCCAAGAGGUUGAUAACAAUGACUGUACUCCUUAUGUUGACUGGAAUUAUUGACUGGUAUGCAGUAAAACAGCUGAGGGAAAGUUCAACUAUUAAUUCAUUUCAGCUGGGUAGUCUGGCAGUAUUAUAGGUAAUCUGGCAGUAAUGGCAUGACAUCAUGAGAGCUAACCAACAUGGUUAAUGGUGUAUAGAGACACUGUCUGAAGACCUCGAGGGAAAGGCAAGGAAAAUGGAUGAUCCACUUCCAAUAUCCCUGUAAAAAAGAGGAAGGAUACCACAAUAUUGACGAUAAAUUAUUGUCAAUUCAAGAAGCAAAGUUGUGAAAAUGCAAAAAUAAUAUUUAAUGUAUUUGUUAGAAAAAUAUCAUUAACUGCAUAUAUAUUUCUUGACCUUAUUCAGGAAUACAUCAGAUGUAGUCAUUCAUAUUAAAACUGAAUCUAUGAAUUUUCAUAACUUUUAUCAAUAAAGUUUACUAUAUUUUACAUGUAUCUGAUUUCCCUAAUACAUUGUACUCAUGGGAGUUUGCUUGCAUUCAAUGUUCUGACAUGAAUCCGAAAAUGUGCAUAUUUCAUCACAAGAGCCCUCCUGGGCACUAAGCAUGUGUCAUGUAUAAAGCAAACUCAAACAAGAUCUACCAACAUAAUAUUUGAAUGAACACAAACGGUCUUAAAUACUCUUUCGUUUCCUCUGCAAUAUAUGGAAUUAAACAGCAUUAAUUCUUUUUUUUCAAUUUUGUUAAUAUAUACAAGUCAAUUAACUUUUCUCAAACUUUUGAUGCAUAUAAUGGAUUUUCUCUGUACUGCUACAUCUAUGUGCACAGAAUGGAAAUGAUGUCACUAAGAGGAAUAUACCUUAAUCAUGAGCAUAUAUAUUUUGUUCAAUGAUAACAAUUUGAGCAAUGAUCACAAAUACUCAUGACAUUGGAAUUAUGAAAAGUCAUUGAAAUGCAUGUAUCUACUAGAGUCACUUUCAUACUAAAAAUUCUUCUUAUUAAAUGAGUCACUUAUAAAUGAAAGACUUGUGACGCAAGUAUUAGUUGAUAAAUAAUAAUUUUCAAAUAUCGAUGUUUAAAUUAGGGAGGAUAUCAUUUAUAACUUAGUAGAUAUGAUAUUAAAUUAUUCUCACCCAUAUAA